rnacentral:rRNA from 1 species
GUACUGCAGAGGGGGGUAGAAUUUCAGGUGUAGCGGUGAAUUGCGUAGAGAUCUGAAGGAAUACCGGUGUCGAAGGCGGCCCCCUGGACAGAUACUGACACUCAGAUGCGAAAGCGUGGGGAGCAAACAGGAUUAGAUACCCUGGUAGUCCACGCCGUAAACGAUGUCUACUUGGAGGUUGUGGCCUUGAGCCGUGGCUUUCGGAGCUAACGCGUUAAGUAGACCGCCUGGGGAGUACGGUCGCAAGAUUAAAACUCAAUUGAAUUGACGGGGGCCCGCACAAGCGGCGGAGCAUGUGGGUUAAUUCGAUGCAAUGCGAAGAAUCUUACCUACUCUUGACAUCUACAGAAUCCUGCGGUGACGCGGGAGCGCCUUCUGGAACCGUUAGACAGG